AAUCCACCUUGCGACUGCCAGUCAUGGAAAUCCUAAAGCAGAAGGUCUAUACAAGCUGAUGACAGAUAUAAAUCUGUUAGCGUUCUGUAUCUUUCUACUGGAUGCACUGGACCCAGCGAUGAGGCUUUCCCUCAAGCUCCAAAGAUCUGAUGUGACGCUCUGUGAUAGCCUGUGCUGGAUUGAAAGCACAAUGGAAAUUCUACAAGAAAAGAAAGGAAGAAUAUGGUGAUGAGGACGUUCAACUGGUGUGUUCCCAUUUUGAGAAAACGCUGAAGCGUGCGGUGGCAGAGUUCACACCAGUGGCAGCAAUAAACGAGUG